GAGACUGGGUGCUUCGGCGCCCGACCUCCAACCCCCUGUCUACCUUACCACUGUUGCCUCGGCGUAUCUGCCCACCCCCCUAGGGGGGUGCGGCGUCUGCGCCGGCGGCCAAAAACAAAAACCCUUUUUUAAACCAAGCAAUCUGAGAAAUUAUUUAAUAACUUCAAAACUUUCAACAACGGAUCUCUUGGUUCU
rnacentral:misc_RNA from 1 species